rnacentral:misc_RNA from 1 species
CGGCGCAUUUUACUUACUAGGUCCAAUUCCAAGUGACCCUUUUCUGAAUGUCAUAACUUGUACAACUAUGGUCACUGUUCCGAUGUUUACAACAGUGGGUAAAAUGCUAUAUAGCAAUGAGAUUGCUCUUGGGGAGGCAUUGAUGCAGGGGUUCAGUGUGAAAUAUGAUACCCCUUAUGAUAGGCGCUGUUCUGAGUGCAAGAGUCUGG